UACGUAGGUGGCGAGCGUUGUCCGGAAUUAUUGGGCGUAAAGAGCAUGUAGGCGGUUUUUUAAGUCUGGAGUGAAAAUGCGGGGCUCAACCCCGUAUGGCUCUGGAUACUGGAAGACUUGAGUGCAGGAGAGGAAAGGGGAAUUCCCGGUGUAGCGGUGAAAUGCGUAGAUAUUGGGAGGAACACCAGUGGCGAAGGCGCCUUUCUGGACUGUGUCUGACGCUGAGAUGCGAAAGCCAGGGUAGCGAACGGG
rnacentral:rRNA from 2 species